rnacentral:misc_RNA from 1 species
AAAGACGACGAAUAGUCAACUUAUAAACGGCGAAUAAUGUUGUACUGUUGACUGACAUUUGAAUUCCUUCAAUUAUUUUACGCCACUUUAUCGAGGAUGAAUAUCCAUUUAUAUGAUUAUUAUUACCACUGUCUCUCUUACGCCGCAACUGUGAUGUUAGUUAAUAAUUCUGGAAUAAUUUCUUAACGAUGUUUUAAUUGUCACUAUAACCUUAGCGACAAUUGUCAAAUUAGCAUAAAAGAAACAAAAAAUUCGCACGUCUCACGUAAAAACUAUUUGGAAAGUCUCUCUCUCUUUCUCUCAUCGAUGCGUAAAUGGAUACGCAAACGGAUAUCAAUUUAGUGCGACCGCAAAUGGCAUUACGAAAUAUGAACUCUGGCAAUAUAUUUUAUAUGCCUUUAACAUCGUUCGCAGAAAUGUGGUAUCAAAUAUUUCUAUGGGCUCUAUUCUCUUCAAUAUUUGUGCAUACAAUUGCUGGCGCUAUUUGUUUCGCCACUUUGCGACAGCACAAAUAUGGCAAAUUUUUUCCGCUACUUAUUAUAAUAAUGGGCGUAUUGUUACCACUAACAUCAGGUGUUGUUAGUUCAGCAGCAGUUGCCUUUGUGUAUAGAGCAUCCGGUUAUCAAAUGCCACCCUUGUAUGCAAUGUUUUGGGGCAUUGGACAAACCGUGUUACCAGUUUGCGUCGGAUUUACGCGAAUCUUAGCAACUUUAUAAACCAAGAUUGCAAGGACUGCAUUUUGUGAUAUUUAUGUGUAUAUACAAGAACAGCUAUCAAGUGUCUUCUAAGUUAUACAUAUAGGAAAAUAUGUACAUAUGUAGGAAGGCAAGAACAUUUGCUACGUGUUUGCCGGACAUGUACAAGGCGUUUUGCGUGACACCAGUGAAAAGCACGCUUGUGGCCAGA